rnacentral:rRNA from 1 species
UUGGGAAUCUUGGACAAUGGGGGAAACCCUGAUCCAGCCAUGCCGCGUGAGUGAUGAAGGCCUUCGGGUUGUAAAGCUCUUUUACCCGGGAAGAUAAUGACUGUACCGGGAGAAUAAGCUCCGGCUAACUUCGUGCCAGCAGCCGCGGUAAUACGAAGGGGGCUAGCGUUGUUCGGAAUUACUGGGCGUAAAGCGCGCGCAGGUGGUUUCUCAAGUCAGUGGUGAAAGCCCGGAGCUCAACUCCGGAACUGCCAUUGAAACUGUGAAACUUGAGGACGAGAGAGGUGAGUGGAAUUCCCAGUGUAGAGGUGAAAUUCGUAGAUAUUGGGAAGAACACCGGUGGCGAAGGCGGCUCACUGGCUCGUAUCUGACACUCAAGCGCGACAGCGUGGGGAUCAAACAG